rnacentral:rRNA from 1 species
GAGCUACCAUGCAGUCGACGGUAACAGGAAGCAGCUUGCUUCUUCGCUGACGAGUGGCGGACGGGUGAGUAAUGUCUGGGAAACUGCCUGAUGGAGGGGGAUAACUACUGGAAACGGUAGCUAAUACCGCAUAACGUCGCAAGACCAAAGAGGGGGACCUUCGGGCCUCUUGCCAUCGGAUGUGCCCAGAUGGGAUUAGCUUGUUGGUGGGGUAACGGCUCACCUAGGCGACGAUCCCUAGCUGGUCUGAGAGGAUGACCAGCCACACUGGAACUGAGACACGGUCCAGACUCCUACGGGAGGCAGCAGUGGGGAAUAUUGCACAAUGGGCGCAAGCCUGAUGCAGCCAUGCCGCGUGUAUGAAGAAGGCCUUCGGGUUGUAAAGUACUUUCAGCGGGGAGGAAGGGAGUAAAGUUAAUACCUUUGCUCAUUGACGUUACCCGCAGAAGAAGCACCGGCUAACUCCGUGCCAGCCGCCGCGGUAAUUCGUCGUGACUGGGAAACCCCCUGGCG